UUUGAUAGUUUAUCAUUAAUUGCAAUCAUCAAUUAAAAAUGAUUGUCUUAAAUCACAGUUAUCUAAGAGUUUUCCAAAUUUCACCACUUUAUAUCCAAAUUGCGAAUUUUAAGUAUGAAAAAUCAUUUCUAUACAGCAGGUCAUCAUAUAUCGGUAAAGAAUGUGUGCCAAAAAUACUUGUUUGUUUUCACGAUACUUAAAUGUAUAUGUAUAUAUAAUAUGUUAUACAUAUAUAUGUUACCUUUUCCUUCAAAACCUAUUCUUUAAGAAGUUUAUCAAUUGCCAGCAGAGUUGUCUGAACACUAACUUUUUUAUCAGCAAACUCAUGAGUCAAAAUAUCUAGAGAUUUCUAUGACACCGGUAUUUAUGUACAUACAUAUGCUGCGUGUGUUGAAAGUCAUUUUGAAAUAUUUUUUUACAAAGACAUUUAAUUCCUGAAAUCUGUAUUUUUAAAAAGUCCUUUGGUUGUUGGUUUACUAAGUACCUAAUAAAAUCGUAACAGAAUUUAAGUAUUACAAUUAUUGUUACAAUUGGUUUAAACAGUGUUUUAUUAUUUCAAUAUAUAAGCAAAAAUAUAAUGUUAAAUAAUAAUGUAAAAUGUAUUUAUAAUACGGACAAAAAAUCAAUAAACACACCUUGACAAAAAUAACGGGAUGAAAAAUCUCUUUAAAAUUUAAAAGCACUUACCAAAUUAAAAAUAAAUUUUAUGUCGCAACUAAACAUAAUUAAUAUAGUACAUGUCCCACCACAUAAAAUGUAAUCUACAAGCUCUAACAACAAGUUUCUAAUAUCUACAUAUGUAUGUAUGUAUCUAAUAAGUUUUGUGGAUAGCAUAAUUCUACGUACAUAUGUAUGUAUGUAUGUAUGUGCAUCAGUGGCGUGCACGGCUCACUUGGGUACAAUUUUAUCUGCCGCACACAAUACAAACAUUAGUUUGCUUCGACAACAAAGAACAACAGAAAUUCACACUCAGAAGUACAUAUGUAUGUACAUAUGUAUAUGGGAAGAACCAAUAAUUUGAGAACAACUUCAAUUAUUGUUUAAAUUUUCUGUUUUUAUUUAAUUUGAAAACAGUUUUAAGCCGUGUAAAGUUAUUUGUUCUCUUUUUAAGGUAUUUCUCUCACACACACAUCCAAAAUUAAUAUGAGAAUGUAUUGGUGCCGUCCCGUCCACUUAUUUUACACAUUCAUAUGUACAUAUGUAUGCAUAUAUGUAGUGAAUGUAAAACAGUAGCAGACAACCAAAAGUAACGAAUCAAAUUUAACACAUACAUACAUACAUACAUACAUACAUAAGUAUGUAUAAGAAAUUAAAGGUAACAGAAGUAGAAAAUUUUACAAAACAAACAUUUACUUACAAAAAAAAUUGUUCUUACAUAUUAAGUAGUACAUAUGUACAUGUGUGCGUAUAUUAGCCAAGUAGAAUAAUUUGCAUGCUUGCUGGAUAAAUUCAACGAAUUGAUAGAAAAACAAAUUACAUAUGCAUGUACGUAUGAAGUUACAUGCAUUAUCUGUAUAAAGUAUUGAAAGCAUAUUUUGUAGAACUUUUGAUAAUUUUCAACUUGCGUUUUUAAAUGGCUUCAAGCCUGACAAUCAACGAAGAAAAUAAAAUUUUAAAGUAUAAGCGAUGAUUGUUAAGUGAGAAUCGUUUACGCCUAAUAUUUAAUUUGGUCUCCUAUUAAAAGAUGUUUACUAAAUAGUAAAAAUAAACAAAAGAAAAUAAUUGUCACCGUGUGUUUAAUGGUAUAUUUUAAGUUAUUAUUAUUUGACGUAAAAUUUUCUCUAAUAUGGGAAAAAGUAUACAUAUAUAUAGAGUCCUUAAUAAAUUUAGAUUUUACAAAAAGUAAAGAGUACUCAUAAACAAAUUAUUUAAAAUGGUCCUACAAUAAGCAACGCGUAAGUAACGUUGUUAUAAUUGUGUAAUCUGGUUCCAAUCGACACUGUAUGUACGGUUACCACUUUUGGUACAAAUGUACCAAAACUAGUAAAUUUUUUAUGCGUUGGUACAUUGGAUCACUUUUUUUCAUAUUGGUACAUUUUCAAUAUGCCUAGUCUAGUACUUAAAUUUUUCAUAAAAUUUUAUGUACACACAUAUUUUUCUUACAAAUGGCUCUGUUCCACCAGACAUCAAUUGAGAAAAUAUAUAUGCGCCAAUGUAAACAGUUAUGUAUAUAUUGUGAAUCACAAUUUGUGAUUCAGCCAAAUUUCUAAGCGAAGAAGAACUUUCCAUAGUGAAAACCUUUGAAAAUUUAUAUAAUGCUGAUCCUGAUGAUAUAAAGAAAAAGAUAUUCGUAAAUUUUGGACAGACAUUGAAGGUAAAAAAAACGGUGUUGACGAACCGCUGUUCAGGAGCUUAAUAAAUUUCAUAAACAACUUGCUUUCGUUGCUACACAGCUCUGGUGCUGCAGAGCGAAAGUUUUUUGAAAGGUUAACAAAAUAUAGUAUUAAAAAAUACCGAAAAUAAAAAUAGAAAAAUUAAAAAAAUUUGAGGUACAUUUUUGCUAAAAUUGGUGCAUUUUUUCAAAAUUUUGGUACACAAAAUUUUUUUGGAAUGGUAACCGUGACUGUAUGUUAGAUUUCUACCAAAGCCCAACGAAUAAAAAUGAGCCAUAUUCACUAAAUUAUUCAAGUAAGCCAAAUACAAAAAGUAAAAAAAAAAACAUGGUAUCCUAAAGUUUAAGAUGUGAGACAAAUUUGUAGUUUUUUUGCUGGAAUAUGAAUAUAAGAACUAUAGUUGUGUGUAGUAAAAAUCGAGAAAAAAUCGCACACUAAAAUGUGAAAACAAAUAAAAUCAUUAAUGUAUAUUUACGCGAAGAAUUAAUUCACGAAUCGAGAAAUAAUGGGAAGAGCGUUUUUACCAAACAAAGUUAAAACAGGAUACAUAUGUACAUAUAUCACACCAUUUACAUUUCGUUUUCUAUAUUCUGCCUAAUACCACACCACAUUUGCUUGAAAGUUUGUGCGUGAAAAUGCAAGUAGGAUCAAGAAGGAAGAAGAAUAUGGACGAACACUGAAAUAAACAAGAGAAAAUAAUCAAAUGCAAUAACUGGGAAUGGGAACUGAAUGCAAUGAAUAAAUAUAUUUCGUAUAUUUUAAUGAAACAAUAAAUUUUCAGAACGAAUUGCUCUGAUAUCCCUGAAACUCCAAACUUCGGUACCAAACUUCCACCACCUCAUGUAAAACUGCCAGGAUUACGUGUACUUUAACUAACAAGUGACAAGUGUGUUAUGCAAGCUAAUACCUGACAUUUUAAUAUUGUUAUUUUUUUGCUCGAUAUGCUGCAUUUAAAAAUACUGCAACGUACCGAACGUUAUAAAAAUGAAUUCAAUUUAAAGUGUCAAAAUUUUUAAAUGCACUAGCUUUGAUA